UCUCCUCUAACCACACCCACGACGCUCAAAUGGCUCCCACCCUCCCGCGCCGCCGCUCCUCUUCCGCCCGCGCCGUCGAUGGGAUCCACUCCUCCUCGCUUGGACAUGCCCGUCCCCGGCCUCCUCCGCCCCUUCCCCGUCCGCUGCGCCAUGGUCGACCUCCUGAAGUCCUCCGCUCCUUCCUCGUCCGCUGCGCCAUGGUCGACUUCCUGGAUUACCUCAAGUCCUCCUUGU
rnacentral:rRNA from 1 species